rnacentral:rRNA from 1 species
UACAGAGGUCUCAAGCGUUGUUCGGAUUCAUUGGGCGUAAAGGGAGCGUAGGUGGCGGGGCAAGUCAGGUGUGAAAUCUCGGGGCUCAACCCCGAAACUGCACUUGAUACUGCCUUGCUAGAGUACUGGAGAGGAGAUUGGAAUUUACGGUGUAGCAGUGAAAUGCGUAGAUAUCGUAAGGAAGACCAGUGGCGAAGGCGAAUCUCUGGACAGUUACUGACACUGAGGCUCGAAGGCCAGGGGAGCAAACGGG